rnacentral:rRNA from 1 species
GAUGAACGCUGGCGGCGUGCCUAAUACAUGCAAGUCGAGCGAACAGACGAGGAGCUUGCUCCUCUGACGUUAGCGGCGGACGGGUGAGUAACACGUGGAUAACCUACCUAUAAGACUGGGAUAACUUCGGGAAGCCGGAGCUAAUACCGGAUAAUAUAUUGAACCGCAUGGUUCAAUAGUGAAAGACGGUUUUGCUGUCACUUAUAGAUGGAUCCGCGCCGCAUUAGCUAGUUGGUAAGGUAACGGCUUACCAAGGCAACGAUGCGUAGCCGACCUGAGAGGGGGAUAGGCCGCACUGGAACUUGGACAGGGUCAAGACUCCUAAGGGAGGCAGCAGAAGGGAAUCUUCCGCAAUGGGCGAAAGCCUGACGGAGCAACGCCGCGUGAGUGAUGAAGGUCUUCGGAUCGUAAAACUCUGUUAUUAGGGAAGAACAAAUGUGUAAGUAACUAUGCACGUCUUGACGGUACCUAAUCAGAAAGCCACGGCUAACUACGUG